UACGUAGGGUGCAAGCGUUAAUCUGAAUUACUGGGCGUAAAGCGUGCGCAGGCGGUUUUGUAAGUCUGACGUGAAAUCCCCGGGCUUAACCUGGGAAUUGCGUUGGAGACUGCAAGGCUGGAGUCUGGCAGAGGGGGGUAGAAUUCCACGUGUAGCAGUGAAAUGCGUAGAGAUGUGGAGGAACACCGAUGGCGAAGGCAGCCCCCUGGGUCAAGACUGACGCCCAUGCACGAAAGCGUGGGGAGCAAACAGG
rnacentral:rRNA from 1 species